rnacentral:rRNA from 1 species
CCCAGACAGCCAGGAUGUUGGCUUAGAAGCAGCCAUCAUUUAAAGAAAGCGUAAUAGCUCACUGGUCGAGUCGGCCUGCGCGGAAGAUGUAACGGGGCUAAACCAUGCACCGAAGCUGCGGCAGCGAACGUAUCACUUAAAGCGAUUCAGCGGGUUACGAUUGACGGAGCGAAGCGACGUCAAAGCGUAUACAAAGUCGAGUCGGUUUAAGGAUACGUUCGUUGGGUAGGGGAGCGUUCUGUAAGCCUGUGAAGGUGGCCUGUGAGGGUUGCUGGAGGUAUCAGAAGUGCGAAUGCUGACAUAAGUAACGAUAAAGCGGGUGAAAAGCCCGCUCGCCGGAAGACCAAGGGUUCCUGUCCAACGUUAAUCGGGGCAGGGUGAGUCGACCCCUAAGGCGAGGCCGAAAGGCGUAGUCGAUGGGAAACGGGUUAAUAUUCCCGUACUUGGUGUUACUGCGAAGGGGGGACGGAGAAGGCUAUGUUGGCCGGGCGACGGUUGUCCCGGUUUAAGCGUGUAGGUGUGUGUUCCAGGUAAAUCCGGUUCACUUUAACACUGAGGCGUGACGACGAGGCACUACGGUGCUGAAGCAACAAAUGCCCUGCUUCCAGGAAAAGCCUCUAAGCAUCAGGUAACACGAAAUCGUACCCCAAACCGACACAGGUGGUCAGGUAGAGAAUAC